UACGUAGGGUGCAAGCGUUAAUCGGAAUUACUGGGCGUAAAGCGUGCGCAGGCGGCUAUGCAAGACAGAUGUGAAAUCCCCGGGCUCAACCUGGGAACUGCAUUUGUGACUGCAUCGCUGGAGUGCGGCAGAGGGGGAUGGAAUUCCGCGUGUAGCAGUGAAAUGCGUAGAUAUGCGGAGGAACACCGAUGGCGAAGGCAGCCCCCUGGGUCAAAACUGACGCUCAUGCACGAAAGCGUGGGGAGCAAACAGG
rnacentral:rRNA from 1 species